AACGAACGCUGGCGGCAGGCUUAACACAUGCAAGUCGAGCGAGACCUUCGGGUCUAGCGGCGGACGGGUGAGUAACGCGUGGGAACGUGCCCUUCUCUACGGAAUAGCCCCGGGAAACUGGGAGUAAUACCGUAUACGCCCCUUGGGGGAAAGAUUUAUCGUAGAAGGAUCGGCCCGCGUUGGAUUAGGUAGUUGGUGGGGUAAUGGCCCACCAAGCCGACGAUCCAUAGCUGGUUUGAGAGGAUGAUCAGCCACACUGGGACUGAGACACGGCCCAGACUCCUACGGGAGGCAGCAGUGGGGAAUCUUAGACAAUGGGGGCAACCCUGAUCUAGCCAUGCCGCGUGAGUGAUGAAGGCCUUAGGGUUGUAAAGCUCUUUCAGCUGGGAAGAUAAUGACGGUACCAGCAGAAGAAGCCCCGGCUAACUCCGUG
rnacentral:rRNA from 1 species